UUUUCUGGUGUGAAUAUGGCCAGGGAUUGUCUCUGGGACCCCGUUGGGCAUAGCACCUGGGUCGUGCAUUAGAAAACCUGUCUAUGAAGAAAACCUCUGUGGGUUAUAGUGUGGGUCCAAAAUGGGCCCUGAAUACUUUUUAAUGCGCUGUAACAAACGCCAACUAAUGAAAUGUAGAGAAGCUAAAAUAACAAAGUUGCGUCAACAUUUUCAUGUUCGUGCGGGUUUAAUUGUUUAAUUGAUAUCAUGCUGGUGAAAUUCCUCUCAACAUAAUGUUUGCCUGAAAAGCCAUUAGCUAGUGCGUGCAGUCAUAUUUUCUUUAAAGACUCAUGCACAUUCAAUAUUUUGAGGAGCAAGGGCAUAUGACGGAACUUCAAAAUUCAGGUGCUAAACCAAAGACUGUACAGUAAACGUUGGGGUUCUAACUCCAUGUCAAGGCAAGACAACGGGAGCUGGGAAUCUACAAAGUGAUUUGACCGUCUGGACGCGGAGGGGUGAACAUCUCCUGCUCUGACUGCAGCUGGGAGGGACUGCUGUGCGAGGACUGGGCCUGUGACUUCUUUGGGACGGGGAUGGGGCCCACAGCAGCACCCGCUGCUCGUUGAGAAGAGUCCUGCUCCAGCUUCCUCUUGCUGUCGUGGAUCUCUGUCACCCGAGACUUCAGACGCUCCGAGUUGCUCUGGAUCCUGAACGUUCCUGAGUCUCACACUGCUCUUCGAAGAUCUUGAUGGUCUCGUUGAAGGCCUCGAUGGCUGUGCGCUUCAUCUGGAGCUCCUGACAGAGACACAAACGGGAUCACCUCAUGACAGUUAGGAGGCAUGUGAUUUUCCAUCAUGCCAUUUUCACCAGUUCCUUCACAUCAUUAUUUACAGAGGAAGGAUACAAAAAAGACAAAUACAAGACAAAUCAUUUUGUGACAGAGCUUGAGAGGGGUGGUCCAGAAGUCAGUAGUGUGGACUAAUAGUCUCUAUACAGUAUAGUAAAGCAAUAAGGCCCGAGGAGGUGUGGCAUAUGGCCAAUAUAUUACAGCUAAGGGCUGUUCUUAAGCACGAUGCAAUGCA